UAGUCCACGCCCUAAACGAUGUCAACUAGUUGUUGGGGAUUCAUUUCCUUAGUAACGUAGCUAACGCGUGAAGUUGACCGCCUGGGGAGUACGGUCGCAAGAUUAAAACUCAAAGGAAUUGACGGGGACCCGCACAAGCGGUGGAUGAUGUGGAUUAAUUCGAUGCAACGCGAAAAACCUUACCUACCCUUGACAUGCCACUAACGAAGCAGAGAUGCAUUAGGUGCUCGAAAGAGAAAGUGGACAC
rnacentral:rRNA from 1 species